GAUGAACGCUGGCGGCGUGCCUAAUACAUGCAAGUCGAGCGAACGGACGAGAAGCUUGCUUUUCUGAUGUUAGCGGCGGACGGGUGAGUAACACGUGGAUAACCUACCUAUAAGACUGGGAUAACUUCGGGAAACCGGAGCUAAUACCGGAUAAUAUUUUGAACCGCAUGGUUCAAAAGUGAAAGACGGUCUUGCUGUCACUUAUAGAUGGAUCCGCGCUGCAUUAGCUAGUUGGUAAGGUAACGGUUUACCAAGGCAACGAUGCAUAGCCGACCUGAGAGGGUGAUCGGCCACACUGGAACUUAGACACGGUCCAGACUCCUACGGGAGGCAGCAGUAGGCAAUCUUCCACAAUGGGCGAAAGCCUGACGGAGCAACGCCGCGUGAGUGAUGAAGGUCUUCGGAUCGUAAAACUCUGUUAUUAGUGAAAAACAUAUUUGUAAAUAACUGUGCACAUCUUGACGGUACCUAAUCAGAAAGCCACGGCUAACUACGUG
rnacentral:rRNA from 1 species